rnacentral:rRNA from 1 species
UAAUAAAUUAGUACAAAAUWAUUAAUUAAAUUAAAAAAUGAAAAAGUUAUAAAAAUGGAAGUAUAAAAUGAAGAAACUAAUAAAUUUAAAUUAAUUAAUAUCUUAUGAAAAAUUUAAAUUAAAAUAGGAAUAAAAAAUAUUUUACCUUUUGUAUAAUGGUUUUUUAAAAUAUUCAAGAAUUUAUUUAUCCCGAAAAGGUAAGGGCUAAAAAUAUAAUAAAGUAAGUUUAAUAUAAAUAAAAUAUAUUUUUAGAGUUGAAAUAGUAGUCGGUUACUUAGGUAUCUGGUUUUUUAUAAAUAAAUUUAUUUUAAUUAAGGAAAUAUACAAUAAAAGAAUUUUUAUUUUAUAAGUUCUUUAAAAAUAUUUAAAUGGAUAAUCAUUUAAAUGAAAAAUAAAAUAAUUAGAUUAAAUAUAAUGAAGUAGGCUUAAAAAUUGUUUUCUUUAAAAAAAGUUAUAUUAGAAUAAAUMGUAAAAAAUUUAUUUAUGUUUUGAAAAUAAAAUCUGUAAAGAAAUUAUAAUUUUAUGAAAAUAAUGAAAAAAUUAGUAAAUAAAAAUAAUAAAAAUUAAACAUUAUAAGAUUAAAUUUAUAAAUUUGACAAUCUAUUUUUUGACUGUUUAACAAAAACAUUUCUUUUAGAAUAUCAAUAAAGUAAGGUCUGCCCACUGAAAUUUUAAAGGGCCGCAGUAUUAUGACUGUGCGAAGGUAGCAUAAUCAUUAGUCUCUUAAUUAGAGAAUGGAAUGAAWGGCUAAACAAGGAAUUAUUUUAUUAAUUUUAGAAAUUAAAUUUAAAAUAAAAGUGAAAAUGCUUUUAUAGAUCUAAAAGACGAUAAGACCCUUUAGAUCUUUAUAUUAAAAUAAUAAUAGGAUUAGAAGUAAUAUUUUACUGGGGUAGUAUAAGAAUAAUAAAAACUUCUUAAUAUUUAAAUUUUUGARAAAGUAAAGAUCUUGAAUUUAUGAAUUUUGAAAAAGUUACCUAAGGGAUAACAGCGUUAUUAAUUUUUAGAGUUCUUAUCAAUAAAUUAGUUUGCGACCUCGAUGUUGAAUUAAAAAGUCUAUAUUUAGCAGCUUAAAUAUUAGAUAGUCUGUUCGACUAUAAAAUUUUUACAUGAUUUGAGUUCAGAUCGGCGUGAGCCAGAUUGGUUUCUAUCUUUAGAAUAAAUAAAUAUUAAUUUUUAGUACGAAAGGAUUGAGAUUAAGAAAAUAUUUAAAUA